rfam:Felis catus breed Abyssinian Contig176746.1, whole genome shotgun sequence. [26-MAY-2016]
GCCUGGGUGGCUCAGUCGGUGGAGCAUCCGACUUCAACUCAGGUCACGAUCUCGCGGUCCGUGAGUUCGAGCCCCGCGUCGGGCU